GAUGAACGCUGGCGGCGUGCCUAAUACAUGCAAGUCGAGCGAACAGAUAAGGAGCUUGCUCGUUUGACGUUAGCGGCGGACGGGUGAGUAACACGUGUGUAACCUACCUAUAAGACUGGGAUAACUUCGGGAAACCGGAGCUAAUACCGGAUAACAUUCUGAACCGCAUGGUUCUAAAGUGAAAGAUGGUUUUGCUAUCACUUAUAGAUGGACACGCGCCGUAUUAGCUAGUUGGUAGGGUAACGGCUUACCAAGGCGACGAUACGUAGCCGACCUCAGAGAGUGAUCGGCCACCUUGGAGCUGAAACACGGUCCAGACGCCUACGGGAGGCAGCAGUCGGGAAUCUGCGGCAAUGGGCGAAAGCCUGACGGAGCAACGCCGCGUGAGUGAUGACGGGGUCCGGCUCGUAAAACUCUGUUAUUAGGGAAGAACAACCGUGUAAGUAACUGUGCCCGGCGUGACGGUACCUAAUCAGAAAGCCACGGCUAACUACGUG
rnacentral:rRNA from 1 species